UGCAUGCUUUUCAAUUCAAUUUUCAAUUUCAAAAUCAAUGAUAUGGAAAAAAUCACAUACAAAAUGAAGUCACUUUUUCGUGUUUAAGCCAAACGGAUACGCUGAAGAAAUCAAAAUUUCGAGUGCGCAGUCAAACGGCCAAAUGCAGCUUUUGCAAUUCCGCACAAGGAAUGCAAAGCACCAUGUAUUGCGAAUUGAAAAAGAAAUCAAAUUGAAUACUAAGGUGGCCACAAAUAAAAAAGUCGUCUGCGAUGCCGUGCUGACAUACACCCAACCAGCAGCAAUGGCAAUAGAACAACCAUGCCAGUGAGUGCUGAUAGCAAUGCACCCACAAUAAGUAAUAAGGGGCCGUCUCGAACUUUAGAGAUAUGCUUCCAACAGAUAUGCUUUCUUGGCACCACCCCAUAAGGCCGAAGACAUAGGACUAUCGAAUCAGUGGCUGAGCAGCCCAUUUCAUCUCUAGAAGGAAACCGAAAAAUGCAAAGAACAAUGCCCCCACAUCGUGCUGAUUAGAAUAGACGACGUCCAACUUGGGUAGGACUAUGUGGCUCCUAGCCAAUAAUGUGCCCACCUACAGGGACAUCGUACAGAAACUGGAAGAAUAAAAAAUUAAGUUAUACUUAUAUCAGCUGCAGGAGGAUAAGCCCUAUCGCAUAGUAACCACGGAGGCCUGUGGUGGACCACUCCACACCGAGGGUUCAUCACCUGCAGAGCCAGGGUCAUACCGUUCUCUACGUACACUAUCCGAACAGCAGUCACCAAGGGGCCCAUGAAUAUUCACUUUUUUAACUUGCUGUCGGCGGCUAACAGCAAGGGGGCUCUUACCAUCAGGAAGCUGUGCAGCAGGUGGUCAAGUUCGAGACUACUCGAAGCCGGGAUGUGGUGCAAUGCCAUAGAUCUCAGGAGUACGGGCAUACGGCCACAUACUGUGGGAAAAAACACAAAUGCGUUAAAUGUAAGCUGGAUCAUCGAACUGCUGAUUGCGCACGGCUCAAUGAAGUUUCGGCAACAUGCGCCCACUGUGAUGGUAACCACCCUGCCAACUAUAAGGACUGCGAGUGCUUCGCUGAAUAUAUAAUGCGAUAGCCCUAACAGCCGCUGCCACCAGAAGGGGACUAGCUGCAUUCAGCAAAGAGAACAACGCCCCAGCUAUAGCCUGCGAAAAGGACCAGUGCACGCGACUUUUGAUUGCUGAAUGAAUAUUGACUCCUUAUAACCUGCAGCAACCCGUUAGGCCCAAAGGUUCUCUUGAGGGAGACCUACCAGACCUCACUAGAUGACAAAGAGCGACGCAGAUGUCAAACAGCGAGUGCGAGCUAUCAUAAAAUAGUUUAAUGGCAACAUCAAUGUCUGUAGUUGGGACUAAGUUGGCUGAAAGGGAUCUUCAGGAAGGAUAUGCUUCCAACAGAUAUGCUUUCUUGGCACCACCCCAUAAGGCCGAAGACAUAGGACUAUCGAAUCAGUGGCUGAGCAGCCCAUUUCAUCUCUAGAAGGAAACCGAAAAAUGCAAAGAACAAUGCCCCCACAUCGUGCUGAUUAGAAUAGACGACGUCCAACUUGGGUAGGACUAUGUGGCUCCUAGCCAAUAAUGUGCCCACCUACAGGGACAUCGUACAGAAACUGGAAGAAUAAAAAAUUAAGUUAUACUUAUAUCAGCUGCAGGAGGAUAAGCCCUAUCGCAUAGUAACCACGGAGGCCUGUGGUGGACCACUCCACACCGAGGGCUCAUCACCUGCAGAGCCAGGGUCAUACCGUUCUCUACGUACACUAUCCGAACAGCAGUCACCAAGGGGCCCAUGAAUAUUCACUUUUUUAACUUGCUGUCGGCGGCUAACAGCAAGGGGGCUCUUACCAUCAGGAAGCUGUGCAGCAGGUGGUCAAGUUCGAGACUACUCGAAGCCGGGAUGUGGUGCAAUGCCAUAGAUCUCAGGAGUACGGGCAUACGGCCACAUACUGUGGGAAAAAACACAAAUGCGUUAAAUGUAAGCUGGAUCAUCGAACUGCUGAUUACGCACGGCUCAAUGAAGUUUCGGCAACAUGCGCCCACUGUGAUGGUAACCACCCUGCCAACUAUAAGGACUGCGAGUGCUUCGCUGAAUAUAUAAUGCGGUAGCCCUAACAGCCGCUGCCACCAGAAGGGGACUAGCUGCAUUCAGCAAAGAGAACAACGCCCCAGCUAUAGCCUGCGAAAAGGACCAGUGCACGCGACUUUUGAUUGCUGAAUGAAUAUUGACUCCUUAUAACCUGCAGCAACCCGUUGGGCCCAAAGGGUAAAUGUUUGGCAAGCCCGUACACUUGUAUAUGUAGGUUAACUGACUGAUCACUUAAAUGAUUUUAUGAGUAGCGGGUCUUUAUGCAAAAAUUAAAACCUUUAAAAUAUUCAAAUAUACCAAACAAAAACAAGUAAGAGGUUCUAGUCGGAAGAUCCCGUUUAGGGGAUACUCUGAACUCUCUUAUUCCAACACCAAAUGCAGCUCGCGCUACGCGCUCGUUUGUAUUAAAAAGGAUAAUAUAAAAAAAUGUUACAUUGCUUGCUGACGACUCACCAGCCAAAAAAAAAAGUUUCUCCGGUUGGGCUCGAGCUCGCGACAGACCGCACCACAUGCCACCGCCUCUACUCAAAAGCCACACCAAAAGUUGAAUUUCAGUGAGAAAAAACGAAUUUAAAUGGCAGCACAGAAAACAAUACAAUGGGAAUUACAAUGAUAGAAUUCAAAUUAUAUCUAUUUUAUAGUAUAUAAUUAUAGUAUUAAUAAUUUUAUUGCCUUAUAUUAAUAAGCUUUUUCAUUCACUGUUCAAUUCCAGCCCGAGGUAAUGAACACGAACAUAAUUAAAUUUUAUGUUGCACCUAUGAACUGUUCAUUCACACCAUUUCGUGUGUGUGUCUCUGUUUAGAGCUCGAAAUUCAGAAACCCCAAAAACUUCAUAUCUUGUCGAAGUCAGGUAACAGGUACAUAUGUAUAAAUGUUUCUAUUCAUAAACAAAAUAAGUGUGUGUGCUGGAAUAGCAGGUCCAAGGAAUAUUAAAUGCACACAUUCCAACGCUCAGGUACCCUUACUAUCGAUACCGAGCAUAAAUACAAGAACUUCGCAACGACAUGGCACAACCCUUCAUUAUUUCAUAUAACUCGUCCCUUCAAAAGGGCAGAAAUGAUUCCGACAUUAGAUAAAAAAUUGAAUUUGUGUGUAUUGUUGCUCGUGCGGAAACAUACACACACAUACAUAAUGAAGUAGCACUGAGAGUAAGACAAUGCAGUUUCCUGAAGUGGGGUCGAAAUAAAAAAUGGCGAUGCCUUUCUAUUGCACAAAUCAUAAGUAUGAAAGUAAGCCAAAGCAGCUUCCUGUAGUGGGAGCGAGAAAAAGACAGCGAUGCCGUUCUACUACACAAAUCAUAUGUAUUACUUACUCCCCUUGCUGUCUAAGCAUGCAUCAUAGUUAGGGCAGCAAUCUCCCCUGUUCUCAAAAUGAAGGUGGGUGUCCCUUAAGGAAACGUAUUAGGCACCUUUCUCUACAAUUUGUACACGGCAGACAUCCCCACUCUGUAUGACAUACUCGUGUUUGCUACCCCAAGCCAACACCUGAUGGCCACUGCGAGAAUGAAGCCACUGACGGGGCCAACGAAUACAAUCACUUGCUUGAGAGAUGGGCACGAAGGUGACGAGGAGACGAUGCAGUCUUUUCAUAUUUUUCCACGAUAAAGCCUCAUGGCCCAACCAAGCUUGACGAAAUAUCACACGAGACAAUCUAAUAAACGUUUAUAAUAAAAAGGGAGAAGAUGAACGUA
rnacentral:sRNA from 1 species